rnacentral:rRNA from 1 species
AUUGAACGCUGGCGGCAGGCCUAACACAUGCAAGUCGAGCGAGCGGCGGACGGGUGAGUACUGUCUGGGAAACUGCCUGAUGGAGGGGGCUAACUGCUGGAAACGGUAGCUAAUACUGCAUACCAUCAGAUCUGCCCAGCUGGGAUUAGCUAGUAGGUGGGGUAAAGGCUCACCUAGGCGACGCUCACUAGCUGGUCUGAGAGGAUGACCAGCCACACUGGAACUGAGACACGGUCCAGACUCCUACGGGAGGCAGCAGUGGGGAAUAUUGCACAAUGGGCGCAAGCCUGAUGCAGCCAUGCCGCGUGUGUGAAGAAGGCCUUCGGGUUGUAAAGUACGUUCAGCGAGGAGGCGUUACCCGCAGAAGAAGCACCGGCUAACUCCGUGCCAGCAGCCGCGGUAAUUC